CGACUACGGCCUAGGAGGCAGCGCCUUAGCAAUCGAUACACCAACUCCAGAGGGUUAUUGAUCAUGCGGGGGCACGAUCAACCUGACCACGAAGGUCUUUGUUCCUGCAAGCAAUCGAAGAACAAGCAAGAACAAGAUAAAUAGCAGAUGCAAUUUAAAAUUGCGAAUAUACUAUAUCAAACCAAUGUCUCAACGAGACGAUAAGUUGGAGUCUUGACGACGGUAAAACAGGUGGUCUAACCGACACACGCGAUUACAC
rnacentral:lncRNA from 1 species